rnacentral:rRNA from 1 species
AUUGAACGCUGGCGGAAUGCUUUACACAUGCAAGUCGAGCGGCAGCACGGGGGCAACCCUGGUGGCGAGCGGCGAACGGGUGAGUAAUACAUCGGAACAUGCCCAGUCGUGGGGGAUAACACUUCGAAAGAAGUGCUAAUACCGCAUACGUCCUGAGGGAGAAAGCGGGGGAUCUUCGGACCUCGCGCGAUUGGAGUGGCCGAUGUCAGAUUAGCUAGUUGGUGGGGUAAAGGCCUACCAAGGCAACGAUCUGUGGCUGGUCUGAGAGGAUGAUCAGCCACACUGGGACUGAGACACGGCCCAGACUCCUACGGGAGGCAGCAGUGGGGAAUAUUGGACAAUGGGCGAAAGCCUGAUCCAGCCAUGCCGCGUGUGUGAAGAAGGUCUUCGGAUUGUAAAGCACUUUAAGUUGGGAGGAAGGGCAGUAAGUUAAUACCUUGCUGUUUUGACGUUACCGACAGAAUAAGCACCGGCUAACUCUGUGCCAGCAGCCGCCGUAAGAC